rnacentral:rRNA from 1 species
UACGUAGGGUGCAAGCGUUGUCCGGAAUUAUUGGGCGUAAAGAGCUCGUAGGCGGUCUGUUGCGUCGGCUGUGAAAACCCGGGGCUCAACUCCGGGCCUGCAGCCGAUACGGGCAGACUGGAGGUAUGCAGGGGAGAACGGAAUUCCUGGUGUAGCGGUGAAAUGCGCAGAUAUCAGGAGGAACACCGGUGGCGAAGGCGGUUCUCUGGGCAUGUCCUGACGCUGAGGAGCGAAAGUGUGGGGAGCGAACAGG